rnacentral:rRNA from 1 species
GACGAACGCUGGCGGCGUGCUUAGCACAUGCAAGUCGAACGGUAAGGCCCUUCGGGGUACACGAGUGGCGAACGGGUGAGUAACACGUGGGUGAUCUGCCCUGCACUUCGGGAUAAGCCUGGGAAACUGGGUCUAAUACCGGAUAGGACCCUGGGAUGCAUGUCCUGGGGUGGAAAGCUUUUGCGGUGUGGGAUGGGCCCGCGGCCUAUCAGCUUGUUGGUGGGGUGAUGGCCUACCAAGGCGACGACGGGUAGCCGGCCUGAGAGGGUGACCGGCCACACUGGGACUGAGAGACGGCCCAGACUCCUACGGGAGGCAGCAGUGGGGAAUAUUGCACAAUGGGCGCAAGCCUGAUGCAGCGACGCCGCGUGAGGGAUGACGGCCUUCGGGUUGUAAACCUCUUUCAGCACCGACGAAGCGCAAGUGACGGUAGGUGCAGAAGAAGGACCGGCCAACUACGUGCCAGCCGCCGCUGUAA